GUGAGUAACACGUGGAUAACCUACCUAUAAGACUGGGAUAACUUCGGGAAACCGGAGCUAAUACCGGAUAAUAUAUUGAACCGCAUGGCUCAAUAGUGAAAGACGGUUUUGCUGUCACUUAUAGAUGGAUCCGCGCCGCAUUAGCUAGUUGGUAAGGUAACGGCUUACCAAGGCGAUGAUGCGUAGCCGACCUGAGAGGGUGAUCGGCCACACUGGAACUGAGACACGGUCCAG
rnacentral:rRNA from 1 species